rnacentral:rRNA from 1 species
GGGGAAUAUUGCGCAAUGGGCGAAAGCCUGACGCAGCAACGCCGCGUGGGUGAUGAAGGCCUUCGGGUCGUAAAGCCCUGUCGGAGGGAACGAAUGCUUUCGAGGUUAACAGCCUCGAGAGGUGACGGUACCCUCAAAGGAAGCCCCGGCUAACUUCGUGCCAGCAGCCGCGGUAAUACGAAGGGGGCUAGCGUUGUUCGGAUUUACUGGGCGUAAAGCGCGUGUAGGCGGGCUUGCAAGUUGGGGGUGAAAUCCCGAGGCUCAACCUCGGAACUGCCUCCAAAACUGCAAGCCUGGAGCAAGAUAGAGGCAAGUGGAAUUGCGAGUGUAGAGGUGAAAUUCGUAGAUAUUCGCAGGAACACCAGUGGCGAAGGCGACUUGCUGGAUCUUUGCUGACGCUGAGACGCGAAAGCGUGGGGAGCAA